AAAUGACGUCAAUGUGCAACCAACGGCUAAUACUGCAUCCCGUAUCAAGUGUGAAAAUAAAAGUUAACAAACCCCAAUGCGGCGAUUCUACAGUUGCUAAAGGAGAACUUUGGACCUUAUUGAUGACUUCAUAUCGAGAAUUGAUGUCCUGACUCGUUUCUGUGCUGAUUAAAGUCGCUGAUCUUAUAAACCGUCUUCUCCUUGUCCUCAAAGCUUUACUUUGGAGGGUAAUUCGCUGUGUUUCCGGUGAAUCCAGCUAGCAUGACGCAGCAGGCAGCGGUCGCUCUUGUCUGUUGGACAUGAAAACAUUCAACUACCAACCUCCGAGAUUACCGGUGCCGGCGGGACACUGGACAAGAUAACUAACGUUAACAAAGUCAUUUUCAAAUUUGUCUUUAUAUUUUAUCAAAAUAAAAAUUUAAUCAGUGCAGGGGUUGUCACAAGCGGAAUUUGAUAAAAUAUGGAUAUAGCGGUCUCGGUUUGAUAAGCUUGCUAACGUUAGCUGAACUUUAACUUUAACCAAUUAACGGUUGUGUUGUCGUUUAAAAACAAAAUGUCGGAGCAGAACAUCAGCUUGUAUGAUCUGGUGAACUUAUCCAUCGGGACACCUCAGAAGGGAGCUGUCAACUUCGCCGCCCUACACGCCCUGCUCCACGCCGUCCUGAGGCAGCUGGAUAUCCGGGAGAUAAAGACCCGGUGGAGGGGCGCUGCUCCCGGCGAAUGGCACGCCGGUGCUGUGGUGGGUGUGACGGCUUCCGAACAGGACCACGACACGGAGGAGGGGGACGUUCCGAGGGACCAGGUGGAGCGGGAGGUUCGGCCCGGCACCGAGCUGCAGGAGCGGGGAGCCUCCUCCUCAUUUCCGACCCCCUCCUCCGGUCCUGGGGUGGGCGGACAGGAGGGGCUCCGGUCCCGCAUCGAGAGCUGCGAGGACGAGGUGUCCAAGGCCAUGAAGCUCAUACAGGAACUCAACGAGCAAAAAGAGAACCUGAAGGAGGAGAUGAAGGAGCUGCGCCAACAACACAAGAUGGUCGGUGUAGAGACGGUCGCUGCUGUGGAGAAGUGCUGCCACCGUGUGGACGACCUGGAGGAAACUGUGAGAUCUUUAAAGGAAACCUUUCAGAAGUACCCGGAGCCGGAGGAGCUGAUUCAGUGUGUGACGUGGGACGACAUGCAGGCGGCUCUGCUCGGUGAGACAGAAAGCACUCCGAAGGACUGUGCACAUUCAGGGCUUAUUGCUGUCAAACCCACACACACACCUUCCAGCAGCAUCACUGUAAACACUGCAGCCUCUCGCACCAGCUCGCCCUCCUCCUCCCGCCCUGUCGAGGAUGCCGACAGGUCGGCAGCUCCUCGGUCUCCAUCGUUAAGUGGACAGAUUUCAACUCUCCAGCAAGCGACUGACACCCAGCCGGACGUGGAGGCUUCACCGCUGACUCGUCCACAGACAGGCCGGAUGUCUGCUGGCGUGUUUCAGUCUCUGAGGGCCGGCGGCUCCGAACGCCACCCAGAGAUGGUGGCGGCUCUGAGGAACAUCGGCAAGCAGAGGGAGACGUUCAACAAGCUGGAAGCUCGUGUUACUGCGCUGGAAGAAGCAAAGGUGGAGCAGUCCGAGCUGACACACCUCAGAGAGCUCAUCACUCACAAAGGUUCACAGGAAGUGUCGAGCAACCUGAUGGAUGAGCUGAACCAGCAGAGCGCUUUAAUAAAGAACCUGAUGAGUGAGCGGGACAAGAACGUGGAGCUGGUGGACGACGUGCAGAAGGCGAUCCUGCAACUUCAAGCUGAGUGUGAAAAACUGCACGAGAGCAGCCGGAGUCUGCAAGAGGACAGCAGACAGAGACAGACACACAUAGAGGAGCUGUACAAGAAGACGGAGGAGCUGGAGGAGAAGAAGGCUGACAGGCGGGUGGUUGAGAGAGAAAUCAAAGCAGAUAAAUCUGCUCUGGAGAGCAAAGUGAGCCGCCUGCAGUUUGACUCUGUGACGGAGCAGCUCAACGCCAUGUUCCACGAGCUGCUCAACAAGGUGACGGGCCAGGAGCAGGACUGGCACAAAGUCAUCGACAAACUCUCCACAGAGAUGGAGUGUAAGCUGAACAGGAUCGAGUUGGACUCUGUGAAGAAGCAGCUCGAAGGUCGCUGGAGGAACAUCCACGAGAAGCUGCAGGCCCAGGAAGCUCCAGAGCACGAGGACGCUGCUGCUUUAAGAAAACAACUGGUGGGCAGAUUUCACUGCCUCUCCUGUGACCGACCUGUUGUCAAGUACACAUCUGGAACGCAUUUGGUGAAUCUUCCGUCCUCUCCUGGAUUUCCAGCACACAAGUCCAACAGGCCGUUCACUGUCUACGCUCUGGAGCGGUUUCGACAGCACUACAGGAGCGAGCGGAUCUCUGAGCGGACCGACUACAGUCAGCUGACCGUGUCGCGGAGCUGUGGGGGGAGGCACACCGUCACCUCAGCCAGCCAGCGACGCACCGGCCUGCACAAACACCACAGCCAGACUGAGGUGGACACUAUGAUUCAGUCAGAGGAGGUUGAUAUCAUCGGAAUGGACGGACACAUUUACAAAGGUCGCCUGAACACACCUGCUGUCAGGAACACGGACAGUAAAUUACCUACAAUCUCCUCCAAAGAAGGUUUGAGUAAAGACAAAAAGUCUUCGCUGUCCCAUAAACCUGCUGCGUCUCCGGAGGUCGGACACGCUGCUCAGCUUCAUCACACCCACAGUGCCAAGAGCGCUCAGUGCAGCCGCUCAGCCUCCAGCAGCUCGGGUCGAGACUGGCCCGUGUCGGCUCUGGGCUGCACGUCUCAGAGCUCCUUCACUGCCGCUUCAGCCACAGCCGAGAGCAACGCAGGGCGACGGGCCGACGAGCCGCUCGACCUGUAGAGGGCGACAGAACGCUCUGUACUAGUUUAUAUGUGAUUCUGCAGAGAGAAGGAGACAGACAACCUCAUGUUCUGAUUUAAUGCUGGCUGCAGAUGAGAGGAUGGAGGUGAUGGAGGCCUGUUUAAAGUUGAGCUGCAGACAGAAGGUUUCACUCAAAGACGUCUUGAAAACAAACUAAUGAGGGCUGAAAGUUCACGUCCAGGCCAGAGUUCAGCUCAGCGUCCACCAACGAGGAAGAACAGAACAAUCCUUCAGUCUGACGCAGGAUCAGAGUUCACCAGUUCAAGUCCUAACACACUUUGUUUUCAUAUUGAUUCAGUGAACUAUAAAUUAUUUCUCUACUGAUUUAAUAUUAGCAUCAGUCAAAACAAGACUGCAGAAUCAACACUUUGAGGAUUUAUUAUCUGAUCUGAUGUUUCCACUUUUCAAUCAGGAAACUUCUGACUUACUUUAUUCAACACUGAUGCAUGAAGCAGUUUAUAGCCCCCAACAUGUUGUGUUUUAUUAUUGAAGCACCUAUAACAGCACAGAUUCCUUCAUUUAAUGAUUUUUACGAUUGUGAUGUUGUCAUGAGCCGUUAUAACACAUUCUGUUUUCUGUCGAGUCCUCCAGCUCUGACCGAGGUAACAUGAGCCGAGAGAGACACGCUGCUAAAUGCCAAAAGUCCUCAAUUAAACACACACACACACACACACACACACACACACACACACACACACACACACACACACACACACACACACACACACACACACACACACACACACACACACACACACACACACACGAUGCCAGAAAUGGAAGAGGGGUCCUCUCAGCUGUGCAGCAGGAGGAAGGACUACUGGUAUAUUUAGAAAAAAACACACUCAGGCAUGUGCACACACAUAAAUCAUACACACACACACACACGUUUGUGAGGACGUUUGUGUGCAGAACAAAACAACUCAAUCACACAACUGAGCUGCUUCCCUCCUGAACUCUGUGUUUAGACGAUGAGACACACACUUCCCUCCACCAGACUCCAUUCACAAAACUGCAAUUUCUCUAUUUCAUGUUGAUGGAAGACUGUGAGCUUAUACACAAUGCCACACACACACACACACACACACACACACACACACACACCUAAAAGUACUCAGGUCGCUGAUCUCUGAUCAUUUUACAGUUGUUUUACAACAUUGAACAUUUGUAGUUUUGUCUGUUUAUUUAUUGAUCUGAGACUCGAUCAGAUUCUGUUUGUGAUGAACUUUUCACAAUAAGAUCUUUUUCAGCGCCUCCUCGCUCUGUGAAUUUCCUCUGUGGUUAACUGUCAGCAGAGAGAGUUAAUAUUUGAUCACGGCUUCAUUAUUGCUGCAACACUGACUUCUUUCUCCUGCACGCUCCUCGAGGCCACCAUGGAGGAGGAGAGCCUCAGGCGAGAUGAUGUCACCGCACUGCACCCAAAAUAAUAACAAACCAUGGCCGCCGCCUCUCACACACUUCCUCACUCUGUUGAGCUCCAACACGCUCCACCCAGCAAGACGGAGAGGCACGUACACCAACGAGAGAACAGCCAGAGGAAAAGAAAAGCUUCAGACUGAAAACAAAAACAUGGCUGCAGAUGUUGGCGUGCUGUUUCUACACGGUCAGGAUGGGACAAAUCCCAGGAUGCAUUGUGGUUGGUUAGUGGGAGAAGAUUCAGACUAUUAAGAAACACGGUUGCAUAAACAGCCGUGGACCAAAGACACAGACGUCUCUGUGGACACGGUGACGCAAGUUCUGCACCAACACACUCAUUAUUUGAUGCAUUCAAAUGUGAGUGAAGCCGGUAAUUAUUGUGUUACAGAUUAAAUGUUAUUAUGACUGAACACACCCUCCAUAUAGCACAAAGACUCUUAAUGUAGCUGUAUCAGAGGCAGACACUCCCUCUGGGGUCGGCUCAGCCCGAAUGAAGUGACAAGUUUCCUGAAUAAUGAACUAAAUGUGAAUUUUACAUAACAGAGCAGCAAAAAGAGCGCCGAGUCUCAGCUCGGGAAAAUAAACACGUCCGUCAUCAGACUCCAUGUUUCUACUCAAACACAGAAGGAAGUUCAUGUCGAAGAAGGAACAAAUAAUGAAGAACUAGUCAAAGACAGAGUUUCACAAAGUUUAUAACGUUUCUCAUUAAACAACUCUUAAAAUCCGA